UAUAUUUCAGUUCUGUGUGUGGUCUGUAUUAUUGCAGUAGUUGGAGUUUUUCUUUGUCUAAGGAAAAGGAGAAACCACAUAGAAGGCAGCUCAAUCUACAAAUGAAGAACCACAAAAUGACGUUCAGUACUCUGAGAUAUUGCACACUGAUUUAAGAACCAGUCAGGGAGAGGGACAGCACAUACCAGAACUGGCUGCCGAGGGACAAGAGUCAUUAUUAACCUCCAUCUACGCCAAAAUUCAACCACAUUCCCCAG